UAUGCGAAAAACAAACCUUAGCUAGCAGUAUCCUGAGUAGGGCGGGACACGAGAAAUCCUGUCUGAAGCUGGGUCGACCACGAUCCAACCCUAAAUACUAAUACCAGAUCGAUAGUGCACAAGUACCGUGAGGGAAAGGUGAAAAGAACUGAGGUGAUCAGAGUGAAAUAGAACCUGAAACCAUUUGCUUACAAUCAUUCAGAGCCCUAUGUAGCAAUACAGGGUGAUGGACUGCCUUUUGCAUAAUGAGCCUGCGAGUUGUGGUGUCUGGCAAGGUUAAGCAAACGCGAAGCCGUAGCGAAAGCGAGUCUGAAUAGGGCGCUUAGUCAGAUGCUGCAGACCCGAAACGAAGUGAUCUAUCCAUGAGCAAGUUGAAGCUAGUGUAAGAACUAGUGGAGGACUGAACCCAUAGGCGUUGAAAAGCCCCGGGAUGACUUGUGGAUAGGGGUGAAAGGCCAAUCAAACUUCGUGAUAGCUGGUUCUCUCCGAAAUAUAUUUAGGUAUAGCGUUGUGUCGUAAUAUAAGGGGGUAGAGCACUGAAUGGGCUAGGGCAUACACCAAUGUACCAAACCCUAUCAAACUCCGAAUACCUUAUAUGUAAUCACAGCAGUCAGGCGGCGAGUGAUAAAAUCCGUCGUCAAGAGGGAAACAACCCAGACUACCAGCUAAGGUCCCUAAAUCUUACUUAAGUGGAAAACGAUGUGAAGUUACUUAAACAACCAGGAGGUUGGCUUAGAAGCAGCCAUCCUUUAAAGAAAGCGUAAUAGCUCACUGGUCUAGUGAUUUUGCGCGGAAAAUAUAACGGGGCUAAAGUAAGUACCGAAGCUGUAGACUUGCACACAACUUAGAUUAUUUAAGUUUAGAAUAUGAGAAACUAAGUUAUAUGUUUAGUUAUAUUUUUACUGAUUUUUAUAGAGUAAAGAUAGAAAUAAAACUUAGUAAAAUCAGUAAAAAUAUUCUUAGACUAAAGUUAAGUAGUUUAAGUUGUGUGCAAGUGGUAGGAGAGCGUUCUAUUUGCGUCGAAGGUAUACCGGUAAGGAGUGCUGGAGCGAAUAGAAGUGAGCAUGCAGGCAUGAGUAGCGAUAAUUAAUGUGAGAAUCAUUAACGCCGUAAACCCAAGGUUUCCUACGCGAUGCUCGUCAUCGUAGGGUUAGUCGGGUCCUAAGUCGAGUCCGAAAGGGGUAGACGAUGGCAAAUUGGUUAAUAUUCCAAUACCAACAUUAGUGUGCGAUGGAAGGACGCUUAGGGCUAAGGGGGCUAGCGGAUGGAAGUGCUAGUCUAAGGUCGUAGGAGGUUAUACAGGCAAAUCCGUAUAACAAUACUCCGAGAACUGAAAGGCUUUUUGAAGUCUUCGGAUGGAUAGAAGAACCCCUGAUGCCGUCGAGCCAAGAAAAGUUUCUAAGUUUAGCUAAUGUUGCCCGUACCGUAAACCGACACAGGUGGGUGGGAUGAGUAUUCUAAGGCGCGUGGAAGAACUCUCUUUAAGGAACUCUGCAAAAUAGCACCGUA
rnacentral:rRNA from 1 species